UACGUAGGUGGCAAGCGUUGUCCGGAUUUACUGGGCGUAAAGGGCGUGCAGGCGGUCUGUUAAGUUCAGGGUGAAAGCUCCCGGCUCAACUGGGAGAGGUCCUUGGAUACUGGCAGGCUAGAGUGCGGGAGAGGAGAAUGGAAUUCCUGGUGUAGCGGUGAAAUGCGCAGAUAUCAGGAAGAACACCCGUGGCGAAGGCGGCUCACUGGCCCGGUACUGACGCUGAGGUGCGAAAGCGUGGGGAGCAAACAGG
rnacentral:rRNA from 1 species